rnacentral:rRNA from 1 species
AGAUAGAAAGUUACUUCGGUACAUCGGUGACAGGUGGUGCAUGGUUGUCGUCAGCUCGUGUCGUGAGAUGUUGGGUUAAGUCCCGCAACGAGCGCAACCCCUAUUGUUAGUUGCCAUCAUUCAGUUGGGCACUCUAGCGAGACUGCCGGUAAUAAACCGGAGGAAGUGGGAUGACGUCAAAUCAUCAUGCCCCUUAUGACCUGGGCUACACACGUGCUACAAUGGUUGGUACAACGAGUUGCGAGUCGGUGACGGCGAGCUAAUCUCUUAAAGCCAAUCUCAGUUCGGAUUGUAGGCUGCAACUCGCCUACAUGAAGUCGGAAUCGCUAGUAAUCGCGGAUCAGCACGCCGCGGUGAAUACGUUCCCGGGCCUU